GCUUUACACAACAGCCAUACGUGAAGCAAAUCAAAAUAAAGAAACACUCACCUUCACACUGAGUUUAAGAGACUCUAAAAUUGAAAGGAACCGGAAAAUCAUCACAUUCUACAAAACACCCAGGGUGGAGUGGACCAGGCCUCUACAAUGCCAUCUGAUCGGUGAUCCUGCAGUUGGAGAAGGUGUCAACAGACAUGUUCUGUCCCUGACUAUGUCAAGCCUUCAAUGUGGAUUUGAACUUGAUGAAGAAACAG